rnacentral:rRNA from 1 species
UACGAAGGGUGCAAGCGUUACUCGGAAUUACUGGGCGUAAAGCGUGCGUAGGCGGUUUGUUAAGUCUGUCGUGAAAGCCCCGGGCUCAACCUGGGAAUGGCGAUGGAUACUGGCGAGCUAGAGUACGGUAGAGGAGAGUGGAAUUCCCGGUGUAGCAGUGAAAUGCGUAGAUAUCGGGAGGAACACCUGAGGCGAAGGCGGGCUACUGGGCCGAUACUGACGCUGAUGCGCGAAAGCCAGGGGAGCGAACGGG